CCUACCAGGUGGUAGCAGAGAUCUAAGGCCAGAGGCAAGUCCCUAAGAAGCAGGCACUAGGACCAGGAAUUAUCCUGUCAAGUGUUGCCCUUGCCAAGGAAUAUUACAACUUUGUGUGGAAGGGGUGGGGGUGUACAGUGAAUGAGCAGUCAGUCCCAGGGCUAUCAUAGGAGCUGAUAGGCACAUGGUUUUGACAUUAGGAGGCAGGAAACCAUGGUGCUAAUUCUAUCUUUGCCAGGUUCUCACUGAGUGUGACCUCUAGCGUAUCACUGUCCUCUCAACCUUGGUUUCUAUAUCUAUAAAAUGGGAAUAACAAAUUCGGUCCUGUCUUCCUCUUGGAGGGCUGUGCAGGUUAAAUGAAAUAACAGGUAUAUAAUCUGCAAAGGGCUGAGGAGCCACAUAAACAAUAACUGCUGAUCCUGGGACGCAUCAGAGAAGGCUGAGUGGCUGCCUGUAUUUGAACACUGAUCAUUACCUUCCACCAUGAGCUGCACUGUGAUUAGGCACUAAUGAGUAAAAUAGUUUUGGUGGAGGGAUGAGGUUACAGUGGUCUGAGGUCAAGCAAACCUGGGUUAAAUGUAUGAUUUCUCCUUUCCCAAGCUUUGAGUUUUUGAUCAAGUCUUGAAAUCUCUUUUCAGCCAGGUUUCCUUGUCUAUAAAGGUGGGAUAAUGAUUAUUUGCAGGGUUGCAGUGAGAAUUAAAUGGGAAUGUUUAUGUAAAGUGCUUGCAACUGUGCUAACCCACAAAUGUGUUCCUUUUGUUGAGUUUUCCUUCAUUUUCCCAUCAUUUUGUUACUGUUUUAUUUGUAAGUUAAAGAAUAAAACACAAAAAGAGGAAUUUCCACGGGGGAGAUUGAGCACAGCUAGAAUCCUAGUUGCUCCUUACUGAUUGUGAGGACUGGGAAGUCCCUGCCUUUCCCUCAGCCUGGGUUUUCUCAUCUGUAACACCAGGGGUUCCACGAGGGAGUUUCUUCAGGGACUAGCCUGGGAGGCACAGGAUGCUACCAAGUCUGCAGGCCCCUUUCAGGGAGAGGAUCCUUCAGGCCGAGCUGGGUAAGGAGGGCCAGGCAGGGAUCAGGAGAGGGAGAUAAGAGUUGUGGAAGAGGGACAGCAGGAUGCAGAGGUGGCAGUUCUGUCACCACCAUGGGCUGGCCUGUGAAGGGAGCAGGCCCUGUUCAGGAUGCCUGCCUGCCUGUUUUCCCACAGCCUGCUGAGUUAAUGCCAAAACAAAAUACACUUGCUUGCUCCCUGCCUGAUGGCAGCAAGCCAAAAUGAGCGUCCUGGAGGGCUGGCAGACACCCUGGCAUCCUGCCUGUCCUCUGUGGGCAUCUGCCCUUCCCCUGUCUGCAGCACCACCCUCAGCCAAAGCUGGCCCAGGGUGUGGAGAGGAGCCUCCCCAGGGUCUGCGUUCCUCCUCCGAUUUGCAGCCUUCCUAAGUGGAUGCCUCCAACCCCUACACCUGCCUGUCUUCCAGUCCAGCCUUGGCCCAAGACGUGAUCUAAUUCUCAUGCUGCUGUGGGCAGAGCACAUGGCAUCAGAAUGCUGGGAGCUGCUGUCUGUCGCCAUGGGAGGGAAUUCCCCAGCUCAGGAAAACUCUUCCAACGGAAGGGAGCAGGUGGCGAGCCUCCCUGAAGAGACAGACGCUGCCAACGCUGCAGGCAGAGCCAAUCGUGUGGUGGCUAACAGAUUUUUCCAGCAACAGAGCUGAGAGGAUUAGAAUCUGGGAGAAGAAAGAGCUCUGCAUUCUUGGCUUCACCUGUCUGGAGUGGAGUUGACAUCAUGCUGAGCUGGAGGUGCAGGGGGCCAGGGAAGGACAAAUCCCUCACCUGUUGUGGGAGAGGCGUGGCUGUUGCACACUCCCGUCUCACUCAAGCCUCACAACAGCCCUCAAGGGAAGUUAUCAGGGCCAUUUUGAAGAUGCAGCCAAGCUGCAGAGUUUCGUCUUCCAAUGAAGCUUCCCUGACUCCCUCUGAGAGUGACUGCUCCUUUUCUGCACACCCUCAUGUCCCAGAAUCAAUGGCCUGACCCUUCUGCUUCUCCAACCAUACUCAGACACCCUCCUCCAAGUGCCCACACCAUAGUCCUGCACACAGAUCCUUAAGCAGCUUCAUUCCGUAUGUUUUAAUGUUUAUUUAAAUUUAUUUGUAUUAUCUUUCCAUCAACAUAUAUUAUUUUUCUUUACCUUCUUUUAUAAUAUUGGGUUUUUAUCCCAUCCAUGCAUGUCCAAAUUGUCAAAAAUUUAGGAAAGAAUAAAAAUUACCCCAAAUUGCCACAGAUAAUCAUAUUAACAUUUUGGUAGAUUAUUUUUUUCUUUUGAGUCUGGUGUCUAUAGACAUAUGCAUUUUACAGAGUUGAGAUUACCCUGUAUGAAUAGUUCUAAAGAUUGCUUUUAAAAAUCU